CCUUGACACACACACAAAAACGUUUAUUUUCCGAGAUCAUCACGAUGCGUUGAGUCUUCUAGCAGGUGCUCGUGAUGUGUCCGCCAGUCAAUGGUCAAAACGAGUGUUAAAAACGGGUUAACAACAACAGUCACAGCCAAUUCACCAGCCACCUCGGCGAUGGCUCCAUUUUGUCUACAGUUGCGGCACGGGCGGGAUUAUCCAAGCGGCACGUUGGCCUUCCCUAAUGGACGUCUCCUUCUUUGGUGGUGGAGGUGGAAGCUGGAGUGUGGAUAACCUGUAAUUGACGUCAACUUCGACCUGGAGGAGCCUCAGAAGUAGGAGCCCUCGGCAUUAAUCAAUAAUACCCAAGAAGUAUUCAUCAGUUUCAAAAAGAUUUGGUUUGGUGUUAGCAUGAACAUUUUUGCACCUUCGUCUUGAUGCGCGCGUCGAGAUUUUUUGGAUAGAUGUUCUGAGCAAGGGCCUGCCAACUUUCUCCAUCCUCCUGGUCCACCACCACCAUGAAACUCCUCAAAGGAUUCCCUGCAAAAUGUCUUCUCCGGUACGUCCACACAGAGGCGACAUUUGCCUAUGUUUUGUUUUCCCCAAUCGGAUAAAGAAGAAUACAGUACAGGGCCCAAAUAAGUGUUAUGUUUUAUUCUUUUUGAGCAUUAAUAGGUUGUAAAUUUGGCAUUUUCAUGUGUUUUAGGAAUCCUGUUUUUUUUUUCAAAACCAAUCCUUAAGUACAGCAAUUUUCUCAUGAAUCCAACUACUGAAAUGAAAUACUAGUUUAACAAGAUGGAUCAUUUUUGUAAAGGCAGAAUUUUCGCAGUCAUGUAAAAAAAAUAAAAGAAAACAUUGACUGGUUAGAUGAUUUCAAUUGCACCACUCUUUGUUUUUUUGUUUAAAUGCACCAUUGCCCCCCAAAACAUUUGUGCAAUUGUUGACUUUUUACAGUGAUAACUCGGUUCUCGACCACAAUCCGUUCCAGAAAACGGUUCGAGAAGUGAUUUGUUCGAAAACCGAAUCGAGGUUUCCCAUUACAAUAAAUGGAAAAAGAAAUAAUGCGAUUUUAAAGCAUUUUAUUUUAGCUUUUCCUGAUAAUAUAAUAAACUGCAUCGUAGAAAUGUAUGUGUAGUUUAAAAAACAUUAUAUGAUAAAAUAAUUUAAGAAGUGUUUUUAUUUUUUUGUUUAAAAUGUAUGCUUUAGUCGUAGAGUGGGCUCGGCUGGGAGUGCAUUGCCGUAUCUGUGGCAACUCGGCCUCCAGCCUUGUCAACUUUUUUUUAUUAACAAAAGUGCAGGAUAACUUUAAACUCGCAACUUGCCUUCUUUGGAGCUCCGAUUCUUAGCAACGGGAGCGGCUCAGCCCGCGCCAGCAACUUCCACUCUGUACAAAAUAUAAGCAUCUACGGUCUCGUGUUUAGCAACACCACGCAAGCUACGAGGACUUGUUCAUCGCAAACACAUACUGUGUACAGUUGAUCAAAACAUUCAUCAAUGUUUUUUUGAACAGUGAAUAUAAAUGUAAAUGUGAAUAUCUCGGGCCAUUUUUAAGAUUGUCUAAGUGUAUACUUGAGGUUUUCUCAUUGUUGACAAGUUGCCACGGGCCAGCCCCGCCCUCCACUUUAGCCAGCAUGACGUCACGACCUCUCUCCUCGCCAUCGUGAGCGAUGAUGUAACAAAGCGGUCUCCACUUCUCUCGUGAUUGGCUCUUUUCAAUCAUGGCGAAAUAAUGUCGUUAUACUAACGGCUGCGGAGUGGACCCGACUGCUUUCCGACCGGCAAGGAGAACUAACUUUUGAAGUGGGACUUCAGUUUGGUCCACACAGGCAUGACGAGCAACAAUGACGAGCAGUUGGGGGUGGAAAAUUCAAUUCAAAUGCGUGAGGUUUCGCUCACACAUUUGCCAUUGAUCUUUAUUCAGUUUUGGACAUAUGAUACUUCUGGCUUGAAAUUGUAAUAAUAGUAUGAAGCUAAUUAUAAUUCAUGGACGGAAAUAUUGUAAAAUGCAUAACUGUGAGGUGGGGGAGGGACACCUGCUACUUUAUGUUUCCAAAAUGUUUUUAUGCACUUUUCACUCAGUUUUAAGUGUUUCAAAUGUUCGAUGAGAAAUUCCCUCUCGCCAAAUGUGAGUGAAGAUUAAAUUAAACAGAAAUGACAUCAAUUUUCUUAAGCCACUUUUGCUCAUGAGGGUAGGUAGCAGGAGUGCUGGAGCCCAUCACGGCUGUCAACCAGGCAUGGUACCCCCUAAAGUGGUUGCCAUCCAAUCACAGGGCACAUAGAAACAAACAGCCGCACUUACAAUCACACCUACACGCACACACACACACACACACACACAGAAAUUUAGAGUGUCCAAUUAAUGCAUAUUUUUGGGAUAGGUAAUGUUAUACAGGGUUCGCACGCAUCCCUAAAAGUCCCUAAAAACCCCUAAAUUUUCGAAGAUGCAUUUAGGGACUCCUAAAACUCCUUAAAAUCCACGAAAACCGGUCAAGCCCCUAAAAAGUCCUUAAAUUAUAAAAAAUCAAAGGGAGGACCUUUACUGCCAAAAUUCUCCCGAAAAAAAUUAUCUUUUAUUAAAAAAAAAAAAAAUAGCAAUGCGUCUGGCGUCUAAAACAGCCGGAAAUUGGGUGCUGAGACAGAUAUCCGUAGAAGACAUUUGUGUAUAUAGUUGCAAUUGUAGUUAGAAUCAGUUUUUCUGUAUACUGUCAUGUGAAGACGUUGACAAUGGUCAUAUCAAUGAGAACUACCACAAUGGGCGACAGGUGAUCACUGUCACAGGUACUGAGGUACUGGAACCUUUGAUGAACCAAGAACAGCCGAUGGCACCAUUGGGUGAGUCUUUUUUCCUUACUCUUGAUUUCCCACGAUGGCCCUAAAUUUUUCGUGUCGGCCCUAAAUUUUUUCCGUGUCAGCCCUAAAUUUUCCGUGUCAGCCCCUAAGAAUGGCCCUAAAAAGCCGUUAAAUUUUUUGGGUCCGACUGAGUAUGAACCCUGUAAAAUGAACCCUAUUUUGACAAUGUUUGACAAUAAAUCCUCCCUCAUUUAACAGUGUUUUGAGAAGAUUUUUAUCGACAAUUACAAAUUUUUAGGGGUGAUGCCGUUUUCUCGAGUCACAUGACUUAUGUGCGCGGAUGUGAUGUGUUACGUGCCACAGCAAAGGCUUGAUUACAUUGUGGCCUGUGCUGAUUUCUCGGAUUUAUCCUCAUCUGAUCAAAAAAUAGCAGUAUCGGUUGAUCGCGAAGACGGAGGAAUACUUCCAUACAGAUUUGAAUAUGUGGCUGUAAAUAAUGUCGAAUACUCGGAUGGUUCUUGGGGCGGAAUGAAGCUGGAGUCUGACUACUCGGAGGCCUACGCAUGGGCCAUUAGCCGAAGCUCGGACGCCGAAGCUCGGCUCAAGGACUGCGCCGGACGCCGAAGCUCGGCUAAAGGCCUCCGCUGGACCCUGAAGCGUGGCUCGUGGCCCGCCGCCAGAUCUUGCUUGUCACACUCCACGUCAAUCCCGUCCAAAGCACCAUCCACGUCUGCCGGCCCGGAGCUCUGGGGGCCUUCAUUUAAGCACUUACGUCCCGCGUUGGCCUCCCGAGUAGUCAGACUCCAGCGUCAUUCCCGUCCAAAGAACAAUCCGAAUAUUCAACAUUAUUUACAGCCGCAGGUUCAAAUCUGUAUGAAAGUAUUCCCCCGUCUUCCCGAUCAACCUAUACUGCUAUUUCUUCAUCAGAUGAGGAUAAAUCCGAGAAAUCAGCGCUGGCCACAAUGUAAUCGACCCUGACACGUCACAUCCGCGCACGUCAAGUCAUGUGACGCGCGAAAAUGGCAGCGCCCCUGAAAAUUCGUAAUUGUCGAUAAAAAUCUUCUCAAAACACGAUUAAAUGAGAGAGGAUUUAACAUCACGUUGUCAAAAUAGAGUACAUAUUGCAUUAUCUAUUGGAUACAUUGUUCAUACAAAGCACUGGAUUUCCCCUUUAACAAAGUGUAGUAAGGUACAAGAUCUCAAGAAGAAAUGAGGGGAAAAAAGGUUAAAAAGGCAUUCCCAAGGCUCUGGGGCUCCAAUGAACCACUGUCAGAUCCGUUAAAACUGUGGCAAACCUUCCCAGGAGUGGACGACCAACUAAAAUUACUUCUAGUGCAAUGACAACUCAUUCAAGAGGUCACGAAAGAACCUCGAAGAUCUAAAGACCUGCAGGCCUCGUCGGCUUCAGUUAAGGUAAGAAAGACUCUGUCCAAAAAUGCCGUCCUGGGAGAGCUUCCAGGCGAAAACCGCGAGCUAUCCUCAAAUAAGACAAAGGCUCGUCUCACAUUUGCCAAAAAAAAAAAAAACAUUGAUGAUCCUCAAGACUUUUGCUUUAACAUUCUGUGAACUGACAAGUCAAAACUUGGAACUUUUUGGUGUGUGGCCUGUUAGUUAUGGACUACGGCCGCUUUCCUGCCUCAGGACCAGGACACCUUGCUGUGACUAAUGGAACAGUUAUUUCUGCCAAUUGUUUCUCAACAAUUAUUUUUCCAAUGUUGUUUUUAUGUAUAAUGACCCUGCGUUAUUAAUGUUUUCUUUUUUUUUUUACAGUGCAGAAAGAUCAAAAGAAUUUGGGGCAGUGCAGCCACCAGGUCUAGUGAUCAGACUCGACGAGAACUCCGACCUCUUCAACGCGGUGCCGUGGUCCAGCGGGACUCUGGGUUUUCUGGCGGCGGCCGAGAUCAGGAUCGUACCCGCCAAGCCGUGGGUGAAGCCGCGCUACGAGCCGUUGCGAAGCGUGGAUCUGCCGCUGCUUGGCCGAGGGGUCCCGAGACAAGUGCAACACUUUCGUGGAGGGCAUCCAUUACACGCUGGACUCCGCCGUCAUCAUGACGGGCAGCAUGAGGGAGCACGCCGAGCCCGGCCAGGUUUACCCUCUCUGGCUCUGCCUGUUCUUCCUGCCGCCUGGCAGGGGCAUGGUCCACCCCAAAGGUGAAGAGGAAGAGCUGUACGUGGAGGUGAGCUCAAAGUCGUAGACUUUGAGACGGCGGCUGGAGAAAUUCGUCCGGGACGUGCACGACUGAUUUCGACUGCAUUUAUGCUGCAUGCCUCGAGUGGCACAUGUGGAUUUUCCAUUAUGGCAAGCGUUCCAGAUGCUGUACACAGACGGGGACGAGUUUUGGGAGAUGUUCGAUGGGCAGCUGUACCACAAACUGAGACAGGAGAUCGGCUGUAAGGACUCUUUCCCGGACGUUUACGACAAAAUAUCUAAGGCCGCCAGACACUGGACCCCCACAGCCGCAGGUCGUGGCAGGUUUUAUGCCAUGUAAAGGAAUAUAAGUUGUCUUAAUAUUGCACCACGAGUCUUUCAUGUUUCAUCAAAACAUCUAAUGUUUUGUUCUUUCUAACUGGAAAUCACAGUGUGCCUUUCAUGUUCAUAGUAAUCUCUUCCAUCUCACUAUCACUACUUGGCAGAUCAACAAACAUUAUUUUGGGGAUGAAAAAACAUUUUUCUAUCAUGUUUUAUGCCAGACAUUGUUCUUACCAAUAAAUGUUUCUGUAGA